rnacentral:tRNA from 1 species
GGAGAGGUCGCAUAGCCCGGUCUAGUGCGCGGCUUUGGAGAAGCCGUGUGGGCGCAAGCUCACCGGGGGUUCGAAUCCCCCCCUCUCCG